GCCUCCGCCGCCGGCCGACAGGCGGCCCGCGAAGUCGACUGACAGCCCGGCGGAGGCGUCCGAGGUGUCCGAGCCGCCGGCGCAGCCGUUCCCCGCCACCAAGGAGCACCUGCUCAAGCAGAAGCAGGCCAGAGCUGACGGCGCCGAGCCAGCCGACGCCGACGGCGGAUCGGAGAAGUCCGCUCAGGCGGCGCCGGAGCCCGCCCCCGCCCCCGCUCCCGCCCCGGCCGACGCUGCCCAGGCGGACAGCGCGCCGCCCGCCGACCGGGCGCCAGAGACCAAGCAGAAGCGUAGGUGGUGGAAGAAGUAGCGUCGACGCGGCGAGUGGUGGUAGAUGCUGCUGGAGCGCCUCGCGCCGGGGAAGCUUGCGAUAUGCGCGCGCGCGCGUCGGGCCGCGUGAUUUGAAAUGGGGGCGGCGUGCGUGGCGUGUGUGAGAUGUCGGUGUGCGUGUUUCGGGUGCAGUGUCACGUAGCCAGCCGUCGAUGUUGCAAUAUAUGCCCCGCGCGGCCCUGGCCUGGUGGCCAGCAGACCCAUCGCUGCGCGGUCCUGGCCUGGUGGUCUGCAGACCCGUCGCUGCGCGGCCCUGGCUUCGUGGUCUGCAGACCCGUCGCCGCUCGGGACACGUUGUGCCCUGCGCCUCCCUGCGCCGCCUUGUGGAGCCUUGACCAGUGCCGUUCGCGUACGCGUGUCGGGCGCCGUUGUUUAUCUAGACUUGCUAGUCGAUAUAGCCUGCUCUCCGCUAACAGGACGCCGCGCGUCGUACGCCCCCAGUUAUGUGACCUGCACGUAUAAUUUGCCAUUAUCUGGAGGUGUUGUUCCCUCCCCUUCCCCCGCUGCGUACCCAGCCGUCACUGUUCGCGAACAUCGCUAACACCGCCGUGCUUCUUCAUAAAGCCCAUGCGGGUGUUUAAAGCGGCAUAUGGCCGUGGCUGUUGACUGCGUCUGCAUCAAUGGCCACAGCAUGAACUGUCGUAAUUGCUGCAUCGCCAAUACGGAUCUGAAAACCGGGCCUUGUUCGCGUGCUGCGCGCGCAAAAUUAAGAUUUGCCUCGUGUUCAGGGGUUGCACGCGAUGUGCGCGCGUCACGAUGGGCAGUCGGCUUGAAUAUUCGUGGUGUUUGCGGGGUCGCCCCGUCGCGUAUGGCGCGAGUGGUUGUACUGGUUGUACCCCUUGAUAUUGCAAUUUGGCCAUUUCACGUACAACCAGUGUGGGAAAGCCGUAGCUAUUUAGGUUGUAAAAUGUCACCGGCACGGAAGCGGUGUGGAGAAUUUUGGAAGAGGUGAGUGGCAUGAGGCAUACGCCGGGAGUCAGAAGGUGUCCUGUGCCUUCCCGAUACCGAGUAAAGAACAAGGGAGCUGUGGCGAUCGCGAAGCCAUUCGCCGUACGCUUGUGAGCGUGUCCGUGUUGUUUCCUUGAGUGUUGUGGUUGCUCCUGAUCGCGUGCACUGCGCGGGUGCCUUUGCAAACGUGAAUCUCGCGCCGUUUCCCCCACCAAUCAGGAUGCACGCGCGAAGCAAGUGAACAGGGCCCAGGUUGACUCAUUCAGCCGUCUGGCCAAUCGGCACCAACUGUCGUGACGUCACGUCACGUACUGGCAUCCGAUUGGCCUGUCGUAUUGAGGUUCGGCGGUAGGACCAAUCACGAGCGGGCGCAUGUAACCGCGGCGGUGUAGAUGGCGCUAGUGAGCCGUGCUUUCAAUGUGUGUACCGUGCUGGUAUCAGGACGCGUGUGGCGAAUUGUAAGGCCAUAGCCGUCGUGGCGUAGUUACUGAGCGAUAACCUCGCUCGUAAUAGUCAAUGCCGCGCACACCCAGGGACGAACGCCCCGUCGUCUACCGAUCUCCCAUGAAAUCUGCGUCGCAGAUUUCACCCCGUGACUUUCAGUUAGAUGGUGCCACUGCUUUGGAGAGGCACGCGUGUUUGUGAGGUGAAGGGCCCUCGCCCUGGGUAUGUGCGGCGUUGAGACCCCGCGCUUUGAGAUGUCCCCCUGGGAAAGUUGACGUGUUUCGAAUGUAGUCAGAUGACGUGGAAGCUAACCAACCAUGCGCUGGAAAUAAACAACGAAGGGCAA